rnacentral:rRNA from 1 species
GGGUUGUGAGGUUAAGCGACUAAGCGUACACGGUGGAUGCCCUGGCAGUCAGAGGCGAUGAAGGACGUGCUAAUCUGCGAUAAGCGUCGGUAAGGUGAUAUGAACCGUUAUAACCGGCGAUUUCCGAAUGGGGAAACCCAGUGUGUUUCGACACACUAUCAUUAACUGAAUCCAUAGGUUAAUGAGGCGAACCGGGGGAACUGAAACAUCUAAGUACCCCGAGGAAAAGAAAUCAACCGAGAUUCCCCCAGUAGCGGCGAGCGAACGGGGAGCAGCCCAGAGCCUGAAUCAGUGUGUGUGUUAGUGGAAGCGUCUGGAAAGGCGCGCGAUACAGGGUGACAGCCCCGUACACAAAAAUGCACAUGCUGUGAGCUCGAUGAGUAGGGCGGGACACGUGGUAUCCUGUCUGAAUAUGGGGGGACCAUCCUCCAAGGCUAAAUACUCCUGACUGACCGAUAGUGAACCAGUACCGUGAGGGAAAGGCGAAAAGAACCCCGGCGAGGGGAGUGAAAAAGAACCUGAAACCGUGUACGUACAAGCAGUGGGAGCACAGAGCAAUCUGUGUGACUGCGUACCUUUUGUAUAAUGGGUCAGCGACUUAUAUUCUGUAGCAAGGUUAACCGAAUAGGGGAGCCGAAGGGAAACCGAGUCUUAACUGGGCGUUAAGUUGCAGGGUAUAGACCCGAAACCCGGUGAUCUAGCCAUGGGCAGGUUGAAGGUUGGGUAACACUAACUGGAGGACCGAACCGACUAAUGUUGAAAAAUUAGCGGAUGACUUGUGGCUGGGGGUGAAAGGCCAAUCAAACCGGGAGAUAGCUGGUUCUCCCCGAAAGCUAUUUAGGUAGCGCCUCGUGAAUUCAUCUCCGGGGGUAGAGCACUGUUUCGGCAAGGGGGUCAUCCCGACUUACCAACCCGAUGCAAACUGCGAAUACCGGAGAAUGUUAUCACGGGAGACACACGGCGGGUGCUAACGUCCGUCGUGAAGAGGGAAACAACCCAGACCGCCAGCUAAGGUCCCAAAGUCAUGGUUAAGUGGGAAACGAUGUGGGAAGGCCCAGACAGCCAGGAUGUUGGCUUAGAAGCAGCCAUCAUUUAAAGAAAGCGUAAUAGCUCACUGGUCGAGUCGGCCUGCGCGGAAGAUGUAACGGGGCUAAACCAUGCACCGAAGCUGCGGCAGCGACGCUUAUGCGUUGUUGGGUAGGGGAGCGUUCUGUAAGCCUGUGAAGGUGUGCUGUGAGGCAUGCUGGAGGUAUCAGAAGUGCGAAUGCUGACAUAAGUAACGAUAAAGCGGGUGAAAAGCCCGCUCGCCGGAAGACCAAGGGUUCCUGUCCAACGUUAAUCGGGGCAGGGUGAGUCGACCCCUAAGGCGAGGCCGAAAGGCGUAGUCGAUGGGAAACAGGUUAAUAUUCCUGUACUUGGUGUUACUGCGAAGGGGGGACGGAGAAGGCUAUGUUGGCCGGGCGACGGUUGUCCCGGUUUAAGCGUGUAGGCUGGUUUUCCAGGCAAAUCCGGAAAAUCAAGGCUGAGGCGUGAUGACGAGGCACUACGGUGCUGAAGCAACAAAUGCCCUGCUUCCAGGAAAAGCCUCUAAGCAUCAGGUAACAUCAAAUCGUACCCCAAACCGACACAGGUGGUCAGGUAGAGAAUACCAAGGCGCUUGAGAGAACUCGGGUGAAGGAACUAGGCAAAAUGGUGCCGUAACUUCGGGAGAAGGCACGCUGAUAUGUAGGUGAAGUCCCUCGCGGAUGGAGCUGAAAUCAGUCGAAGAUACCAGCUGGCUGCAACUGUUUAUUAAAAACACAGCACUGUGCAAACACGAAAGUGGACGUAUACGGUGUGACGCCUGCCCGGUGCCGGAAGGUUAAUUGAUGGGGUUAGCGCAAGCGAAGCUCUUGAUCGAAGCCCCGGUAAACGGCGGCCGUAACUAUAACGGUCCUAAGGUAGCGAAAUUCCUUGUCGGGUAAGUUCCGACCUGCACGAAUGGCGUAAUGAUGGCCAGGCUGUCUCCACCCGAGACUCAGUGAAAUUGAACUCGCUGUGAAGAUGCAGUGUACCCGCGGCAAGACGGAAAGACCCCGUGAACCUUUACUAUAGCUUGACACUGAACAUUGAGCCUUGAUGUGUAGGAUAGGUGGGAGGCUUUGAAGUGUGGACGCCAGUCUGCAUGGAGCCGACCUUGAAAUACCACCCUUUAAUGUUUGAUGUUCUAACGUUGACCCGUAAUCCGGGUUGCGGACAGUGUCUGGUGGGUAGUUUGACUGGGGCGGUCUCCUCCUAAAGAGUAACGGAGGAGCACGAAGGUUGGCUAAUCCUGGUCGGACAUCAGGAGGUUAGUGCAAUGGCAUAAGCCAGCUUGACUGCGAGCGUGACGGCGCGAGCAGGUGCGAAAGCAGGUCAUAGUGAUCCGGUGGUUCUGAAUGGAAGGGCCAUCGCUCAACGGAUAAAAGGUACUCCGGGGAUAACAGGCUGAUACCGCCCAAGAGUUCAUAUCGACGGCGGUGUUUGGCACCUCGAUGUCGGCUCAUCACAUCCUGGGGCUGAAGUAGGUCCCAAGGGUAUGGCUGUUCGCCAUUUAAAGUGGUACGCGAGCUGGGUUUAGAACGUCGUGAGACAGUUCGGUCCCUAUCUGCCGUGGGCGCUGGAGAAUUGAGGGGGGCUGCUCCUAGUACGAGAGGACCGGAGUGGACGCAUCACUGGUGUUCGGGUUGUCAUGCCAAUGGCACUGCCCGGUAGCUAAAUGCGGAAGAGAUAAGUGCUGAAAGCAUCUAAGCACGAAACUUGCCCCGAGAUGAGUUCUCCCUGAC